GAGGGGUAAUGAAAGAGCAACGCUUUUAGCGUGGUGGAUGGAUGAAAAUAGGCCGCUGUGAGACUGAAAAUACGAUGAAGGUGGCACACCGCAGUGCUAAUUAAGUGUCUUAAUUGGGAAAAUAAUAACGCCCUCUCGGAUGUGCAUUGGGUCUGCUCAUUUCUCAGCUGUAUGAGUACACACAGGUGCAAGGAAAGUCAACAUUAUGUAAGAUGCCAAAAACCUUUGCUGGAACGUCGCUCCCUGCUGACAAGAUGAUCCCACACCGGGGUGUGGGCAUUCCGGAGAAUUAAACCUGUGUGUGAAAACACAUCUCAUAGAAACCAUGAACGCAUGCCAAGCCAACCAGAUUCUGGUCUCCCUUUGGCAAGCGCUUC
rnacentral:lncRNA from 1 species